CCCGUCAGCACUUAAACCCACACACGUGUCGACACGAUGACCUGGGUGCCCCGAGUUGCGAAAUUCGCGGGUUGGUCAUUGGGAUACGUGGAGGCCCAAC
rnacentral:sRNA from 16 species